rnacentral:lncRNA from 1 species
AUGCAGCUCCUGCCCGGGCUCCUCCGUGCAGCGCAGCCGUGCUGGGGCUCCCCCCAAACCCCUUCUCCACCCCGUGCCGAGGAAGCUCAGCAGCAGCUGAGCCGUGCUGCGGGCUGCGAGGUUUGCUCCGGGCUAUUUUUUCUCCCCAGCUGCUGCUGCAGGAGCCUGAGGCUGGGUUGGGGAGCGAGGAAACUCUGCAAGGGCAUGGGCCAGGGGGAGGUGGCUGGAGGGGCAGAAGGACUUGGGGAGCUUCCCCAUGGGGACGCACGGCUUGGUGUCACCGUGCAGGAGGGACAAAGGUGCCCAGGCCUGGCUGGUGCCACUGCUCAGCACCUGGUGUGGCUGCUCCCACGCCUGCAGAGGAGCAAUAACAAUGCUCAGGGCGAGGGCAAGGGUGAGGCAGUGGCUCAGUCCCGGUGCUGGGAUGGGGGUGACGACGCUGCUGCCCUGCCCUGGCCCAGGGGACGUCCCCAGAGGAGUCCCUGUAGCAGUCCCCAGCCUCGGAGCAUCCCUGCUAUCGUGCAGGGAAGGGCACAGCACGACCUCGGCUCCUGCAGCCCAUCAGAUCCCCUCUCAGUGUUCAGGAGGCAGCCUUGGACCGAUGCAUCUUUCAGAAACGGGCCUCUCCCCGCACCCGAGGACAUCGGGGAAGGACGUCUGCCCCAGCAGGUAAUCCCACGGGGUGCCUCACUUCCCAGGUGGAAUUUGGCCCCCCCUCUUCCCAGGCCUCAGCUCUGGCUCCACCACCUUCGCUGCGUUGUGGCCCCCGGACACCUGAUGCUUUGCCACAGGCACCAGAGCUCCCCCACGGGUGACCCCACGGUGGGUUUGGGGCUGAGCCCUGCGCCCUCCCUUCCCCCUAGAGAAAUAUCCUCACAGUGGCAUCAACCUCUUCCCGUACAGCAGGAAAAUCCCUCCCCGCUCCUGCGUGCAGACUUCCUGCUUCGUGCAGCGGGGAGCACAAAACACAGCCAGAGCCCGGCCACCGCAUCCGAGCCAAACCAUCCCCAAGGGAAUGGGGACCCCGUCCCUGCUGUCACCCCCCCCAAGGCCACUAAAGCCGAGAGAGGGAAAAAUCCCACCCGGGGUGGGAGAUUUUGGUGGUGA